rnacentral:rRNA from 1 species
UCUCAUUCGGAUCGGAGUCUGCAACCCGACUCCGUGAAGCUGGAUUCGCUAGUAAUCGCGCAUCAGCCAUGGCGCGGUGAAUACGUUCCCGGGCCUUGUACACACCGCCCGUCAAGCCAUGGGAGCCGGGGGUGCUUGAAGUGCGUCGCCGCAAGGCGCGCCCUAGAGCAAAACCGGUGACUGGGGCUAAGUCGUAACAAGGUACC